GCCAUAGUUCAGUGGUAGAGCUUCAGCUAACAAUAAUGAUGGUACCAGGUACAAAUGCUGGUAUCUGCA